CAGUCGCCGCGGUAAUACGGAGGGGGCUAGCGUUGUUCGGAAUUACUGGGCGUAAAGCGUACGUAGGCGGCUUUGUAAGUUAGAGGUGAAAGCCUGGAGCUCAACUCCAGAAUUGCCUUUAAGACUGCAUCGCUUGAACGUCGGAGAGGUGAGUGGAAUUCCGAGUGUAGAGGUGAAAUUCGUAGAUAUUCGGAAGAACACCAGUGGCGAAGGCGGCUCACUGGACGACUGUUGACGCUGAGGUACGAAAGCGUGGGGAGCAAACAGGAUUAGAUACCCCUGUAGUCCCUGUCUCUUAUAC
rnacentral:rRNA from 1 species